UACGUAGGGGGCUAGCGUUGUCCGGAUUUAUUGGGCGUAAAGAGCGUGUAGGCGGCCAGGUAGGUCUGCUGUGAAAACUCGAGGCUCAACCUCGAGACGUCGGCGGAAACCAUCUGGCUAGAGUCCGGAAGAGGAGAGUGGAAUUCCUGGUGGUAGCGGUGAAAUGCGCAGAUAUCAGGAGGAACACCGGUGGCGAAGGCGGAUCUCUGGGCCAUUACUGACGCUGAGGAGCGAAAGCGUGGGGAGCGAACAGG
rnacentral:rRNA from 1 species